UCUCAUUCCCUGAGACCCUAACUUGUGACGUUUUGCUGUAAUGUGCACGGGUUGGGUUCUUGGGAGCUGCG
rnacentral:pre_miRNA from 1 species